GUUAAUCAUUACAAGAUGAGGACUUUGUUAAAGGGCAUUAAUUUAAGUUAAUAUCGCCUUGUGCCAAUUAAGGCGGUUUACCUUUCUGGCAGCUUGCGAAGGGAGAACAGGUGUGUGUAUUUGUACUGAUUACUACCAGAGACAAACAGCAGAGAGAGGCUUGUCCUUGUCGGGACGGAGGUGUUGGAUGAAACCGUUCCCUCCCUUUCUGACGAUGGAGACAGCCAGGCCUACAGUGCUGGACAUGCACUCACACUCCAACUGAAUUUGGCUGCAAGUAAAUGUCCCUCUUCCCACCUACCAGGUCACUGAUUCACAAGAACCCGGCCACCAAACCCUCUUACCACCUUCAUACACCACAGAUUAAUCACCAUUCAACAUGAAUGUGUUCUUCGCUCGGUGCUUGCCCUUGUCCUUUUGUCACUGCCGUGAACCUGCACGCUGUGUUUUUAAUCAAAGACCACUGUGCCAGACCCAGCACGUCCCCUCCCACCGAGCCCAGAGGAUGCAGCGGAACAGUAGGGCGGCAGUAACGGAUGAGCGUUAAGCCGGGGCCGGAGAUAUUUAAGAGGAGCUAAUUGUGAGAAGUACUGGAGCACGUGGAGAGAGACCGUACGAUGUGGUGUGAGCGAUGCCCCGCACCCGCGGUCGGCUGGAUGGCGGUACUUCAUCACUGCUUCCAGAACAGGUAAUUAAGGAGCCACCUGCCGAGCCGCACCGGAGAGACCUGCUCUACCGGAGAGCUCCGCACUGGGCCCCGCGGCACGCCGCUCCAAUCAAAGUAUUAUCACUCAUUUUGUAAAAGUCCACCUCUGCCUUUCUCUCUCUCUCUCUCUUCUCCCUCUGUCCCAAACACUACUUUAUUUAUUAAUGCUAAAUGUCACCUCAAGAGAGGCAUGGGGAUGUGAGGGAGAGGCAGGAUUACUUUGUCAUCUGGCUUUGAAUUCAUGCCAUCUUCAUUCGCAUCAUAAAGCGCCUUUUAAAGGGAUAGUUCACCCUUCAAAUGAUAGUUGUCAUCUUUACGUUGUUCAAUUCCUUUUCCUUCUUUGCUUUCUUAUUAAGGAGAAUGUCAGGACUGCUCUCUUCCAUACAAAGAAUAUUAUGAAUAUAUUAUUCAUAGAAAAUGCUUAACAGCCACCAUUCACUUUCAUUGUAUGCAAAAAAGCAGCAUGGAUGUUCUUCUAUAAAUGACUCCUUUUCUUUUCUACACAAUGACUAAAAAGCAAUAGGCUUCACAAGACAUGAGGUUGAUGACAGAAGUUUCAUUUAUUUUAAUUAGAUGAAUUUUCCUAAUCUUUUGGUUCAGCACAUGUAGCAUUUGUUUAGACAGUCCAGUGUUUUUUUAGUAUCACUGAUACUAUAAUAUUAUAGUUAUUAAUAGAUUAAAAAAUAUUUUUGUUUUUAUAAUAUUAAUAAUUUUGUUUUGUUGUAAUUUUUAAUAGUGAUUGUUUUUAAUGUCCAUAUAGUUUUUAUUAAUUUUUAUGUUAAACUAAACAUUUAGUUAAACUAAAUGAAAAUGAGAAAUGUUUCAUUGUCAACAUGUUUCAUUGUCAGCAUGCUGAAAUAAAAUCAUUUCAUAAAAUCAAAGGUUUUUUUUCUUUUCUUUUUUUCCAGUUCCGAUAAAAUAAAAAAAAAUAAAAAAUUAGCUUUAC